CUACUCACUUCAGCAGCACAUGUACUAGAAUUGAAACGAUACAGAAAAGAUUAGCAUGGCCUCUGUGCAAGGAUGACACAGAAAUUUGUGAAGCAUUCAAUAUUUUU